GAUGAACGCUGGCGGCGUGCUUAACACAUGCAAGUCGAACGAAGCACCUUGAUUUGAUUCUUCGGAUGAAGAUCUUGGUGACUGAGUGGCGGACGGGUGAGUAACGCGUGGGUAACCUGCCUCAUACAGGGGGAUAACAGUUAGAAAUGACUGCUAAUACCGCAUAAGACCACAGUACCGCAUGGUACAGGGGUAAAAACUCCGGUGGUAUGAGAUGGACCCGCGUCUGAUUAGGUAGUUGGUGGGGUAACGGCCUACCAAGCCGACGAUCAGUAGCCGACCUGAGAGGGUGACCGGCCACAUUGGGACUGAGACACGGCCCAAACUCCUACGGGAGGCAGCAGUGGGGAAUAGUGCACAAUGGGGGAAACCCUGAUGCAGCGACGCCGCGUGAGCGAUGAAGUAUUUCGGUAUGUAAAGCUCUAUCAGCAGGGAAGAAAAUGACGGUACCUGACUAAGAAGCACCGGCUAAAUACGUGCCAGCAGCCGCAGUAAUAC
rnacentral:rRNA from 1 species